rnacentral:rRNA from 1 species
UUCCAGACUCCUACGGGAGGCAGCAGUGGGGAAUAUUGCACAAUGGGGGAAACCCUGAUGCAGCGACGCCGCGUGAGCGAUGAAGUAUUUCGGUAUGUAAAGCUCUAUCAGCAGGGAAGAAAAUGACGGUACCUGAAGAAGAAGCCCCGGCUAACUACGUGCCAGCAGCCGCGGUAAUACGUAGGGGGCAAGCGUUAUCCGGAUUUACUGGGUGUAAAGGGGGCGCAGACAGCGAUGCAAGCCAGGAGUGAAAGCCCGGGGCCCAACCCCGGGACUGCUCUUGGAACUGCGUGGCUGGAGUGCAGGAGGGGCAGGCGGAAUUCCUGGUGUAGCGGUGAAAUGCGUAGAUAUCAGGAGGAACACCGGUGGCGAAGGCGGCCUGCUGGACUGCAACUGACGUUGAGGCCCGAAAGCGUGGGGAGCAAACAGGAUUAGAUACCCCGGUAACA